UAAAUUUGGAGUUAAUACCUCAUAGUAUUUUCGGAUCGCAUGAUUUGAUUAUUAAAGUCACAACGGUAAAAGAUGAGCAUGCGUCCCAUUAGUUAGUUGGUAAGGUAACGGCUUACCAAGACAAUGAUGGGUAGGGGUCCUGAGAGGGAGAUCCCCCACACUGGUACUGAGACACGGACCAGACUCCUACGGGAGGCAGCAGUGAGGAAUAUUGGACAAUGGGCGCAAGCCUGAUCCAGCCAUGCCGCGUGCAGGAAGACGGUCCUAUGGAUUGUAAACUGCUUUUAUACAGGAAGAAACACUCCGACGUGUCGGAGCUUGACGGUACUGUAGGAAUAAGGAUCGGCUAACUCCGUG
rnacentral:rRNA from 1 species